AUGGUGAAGCUCCCACCCGGAGGGACUGCAAUGGCGGCCGCCGGUGCCGCAGACGACGAAGCAUCCACCAUCGCGGUCGCAUCGUGCCGCGUCGCAGCAACCCCGUCGUCAUCGUGCUGCAUGUACAACAUCCGCCCGUCGCCGUCGCGCUGCGAUGGAGCAGCAAUAAGCGGUGGGGCGCUGCAGUGCAACUCCGUCGGCGGCACCGUCGGGGUGCUGCGGUGGAGCCCGUCCUGCCGGUGCGGGCUGCAGCGAAACAUCGUCGGUGGCGUCAGGUGCUGCGAUGGAGCAUCGAUGGACCACCUCCGCGCCGGCGUCAGCGCUGCAGUGAAGCAUCGCCGGGGACGGCGGGUGCUGCGAUGGAGCGCCAAGGGGGGGCGUUGA
rnacentral:rRNA from 1 species